rnacentral:rRNA from 1 species
AGAGCGAACGCUGGCGGCAGGCCUAACACAUGCAAGUCGAGCGCCCGUAGCAAUACGGGAGCGGCAGACGGGAUAGUAACACGUGGGAACGCGCCCUUCGGUUCGGAAUAACUCAGGGAAACUUGAGCUAAUACCGAAUACGCCCUUACGGGGAAAGAUUUAUUGCCGAAGGAACGGCCCGCGUCCGAUUAGCUAGUUGGUGAGGUAAUGGCUCACCAAGGCUACGAUCGGUAGCUGGUCUGAGAGGAUGACCAGCAUCACUGGGACUGAGACACGGCCCAGACUCCUACGGGAGGCAGCAGUGGGGAAUAUUGGACAAUGGGCGCAAGCCUGAUCCAGCCAUGCCGCGUGGAUGAUGAAGGCCUUAGGGUUGUAAAGUCCUUUUAACGGGGAAGUAUAAUGACGGCACCCGUAGAAUAAGCCCGGCUAACUCGUGCCAGCAGCCGC